UUUCCGUAGGUGAACCUGCGGAAGGAUCAUUGUCGAAACCUGCAAGGCAGAACGACCCGCGAACAAGUGAAAAACUAUCGCUCGCGGCAGGCCUCGGGGCCGGUCGCCAGAAGAAGUCCAGGGAGAUGGCUGUGGGAAACUAUGGCUCCUAUUUCCUUGGGCACAAACAACGAACCCCGGCGCGAAUUGCGUCAAGGAAACGAAAAAAAGAAGACGUGCGCUCCCCUCGUCCCGGAAACGGUAUCGCGAGGGGUCUGCGUCGUCGUGAUAUCACAAUAGAUGAAACGACUCUCGGCAACGGAUAUCUCGGCUCUCGCAUCGAUGAAGAACGUAGCGAAAUGCGAUACUUGGUGUGAAUUGCAGAAUCCCGUGAACCAUCGAGUUUUUGAACGCAAGUUGCGCCCGAAGCCGUCAGGCCGAGGGCACGCCUGCCUGGGUGUCACGCAACGUCGCCAAGAAUCGACUCUCCCCCUUCCGCGGGGAAACAUCGAGUGAUGGCGGAUAUUGGCCUCCCGUGCGCUCCCGCUCUCGGUUGGCCCAAAAAACAGUCCCCUGGCGACGGCAGCCACGGCACACGGUGGAUGGCAGCACAGGCUCCUCGAACACCGCCGUGGGCGAGCCUCGUCGAUGGGUAGCCGAAGGCCCCGACGCAAGCGUCCUCAAAAAGCGACCCCAGGUCAGGCGGGAACACCCGCUGAGUUUAA
rnacentral:rRNA from 1 species